rnacentral:rRNA from 1 species
UACAGAGGUCCCAAGCGUUGUUCGGAUUCAUUGGGCGUAAAGGGCGCGUAGGCGGCCUUCUAAGUCGAACGUGAAAUCCCCGGGCUCAACCUGGGAAUGGCGAUGGAUACUGGCUCGCUAGAGUGCGGUAGAGGAGAGUGGAAUUCCCGGUGUAGCAGUGAAAUGCGUAGAGAUCGGGAGGAACAUCAGUUGCGAAGGCGGCUCUCUGGACCAGCACUGACACUGAGGCACGAAAGCGUGGGGAGCAAACAGG